GAUGUUUUGGUGACGUUUCGCUUUCAUGAUGACGCGGAAAUGGUGCGCCUCAGCCGCUCCGCUUCCUGUCCUCUGUGCGCAGCGAGCGGCGUGUGAAAAUGUUUGCGCGCUGCUUUUUAUAGAAUUUUUUCCUUUGGUGUUUUAUUCGCGUGUAACUACAGUUUGCUGCGCACGUUUUCUCAAAUCUCACGGAAAGCCUUUUGAAUCACCUUGAUCGCUUCGACUGUGAUCAGCUGAGCUGCCGAGUGUGCAGCAGCAGUCUGAAUUUUGUUGCGCCUAUAGCAGAGGAAUUACGGGAAGGACGGCCGCAUGGGGGCUGCACAGAAAAUCAGUCCGCCUUGGCUUUCUCUGGCACAUUUACAUUUUAAACUGUUGGUGAAGGCCAGCCGAGGCUGUGAUGCUGUGACUGCUGCCUCCUGGUCCUGUGAGAGCCGCUGCAGGACGGCCACAGCUGCUGCUCGCUGUCUGCAAAGCUCAGAUGUGGCGACACUGAGCAGUGAUGCCUCAGCAGCUGCUGGUGUGUAAAGAAGAGGUUCCCCCUGAGCAGCAGGAGUGCA